rnacentral:rRNA from 1 species
AUUGAACGCUGGCGGCAGGCCUAACACAUGCAAGUCGAGCGCGCGGCGGACGGGUUAGUAAUGUCUGGGAAACUGCCUGAUGGAGGGGGGUAACUCCUGGAAACGGUAGAUAAUACCGCAUACCAUCAGAUGUGCCCAGAUGGGAUUCGCGAGUCGGUUGGGUAACGGCUCACCUAGGCGACGAGCCCUAGCUGGUCUGAGAGGAUGACCAGCCACACUGGAACUGAGACACGGUCCAGACUCCUACGGGAGGCAGCAGUGGGGAAGAUUGCACAAUGGGCGCAAGCCUGAUGCAGCCAUGCCGCGUGUGUGAAGAAGGCCUUCGGGUUGUAAAGUACUUUCAGCGGGGAGGCGUUACCCGCAGAAGAAGCACCGGCUAACUCCGUGCCAGCAGCCGCGGUAAUAC